UAAUUUUUAUGGAGAGUUUGAUCCUGGCUCAGGAUGAACGCUGGCGGCGUGCCUAAUACAUGCAAGUCGAGCGAACGGACGAGAAGCUUGCUUCUCUGAUGUUAGCGGCGGACGGGUGAGUAACACGUGGAUAACCUACCUAUAAGACUGGGAUAACUUCGGGAAACCGUAGCUAAUACCGGAUAAUAUUUUGAACCGCAUGGUUCAAAAGUGAAAGACGGUCUUGCUGUCACUUAUAGAUGGAUCCGCGCUGCAUUAGCUAGUUGGUAAGGUAACGGCUUACCAAGGCAACGAUGCAUAGCCGACCUGAGAGGGUGAUCGGCCACACUGGAACUGAGACACGGUCCAGACUCCUACGGGAGGCAGCAGUAGGGAAUCUUCCGCAAUGGGCGAAAGCCUGACGGAGCAACGCCGCGUGAGUGAUGAAGGUCUUCGGAUCGUAAAACUCUGUUAUUAGGGAAGAACAUAUGUGUAAGUAACUGUGCACAUCUUGACGGUACCUAAUCAGAAAGCCACGGCUAACUACGUGCCAGCAGCCGCGGUAAUACGUAGGUGGCAAGCGUUAUCCGGAAUUAUUGGGCGUAAAGCGCGCGUAGGCGGUUUUUUAAGUCUGAUGUGAAAGCCCACGGCUCAACCGUGGAGGGUCAUUGGAAACUGGAAAACUUGAGUGCAGAAGAGGAAAGUGGAAUUCCAUGUGUAGCGGUGAAAUGCGCAGAGAUAUGGAGGAACACCAGUGGCGAAGGCGACUUUCUGGUCUGUAACUGACGCUGAUGUGCGAAAGCGUGGGGAUCAAACAGGAUUAGAUACCCUGGUAGUCCACGCCGUAAACGAUGAGUGCUAAGUGUUAGGGGGUUUCCGCCCCUUAGUGCUGCAGCUAACGCAUUAAGCACUCCGCCUGGGGAGUACGACCGCAAGGUUGAAACUCAAAGGAAUUGACGGGGACCCGCACAAGCGGUGGAGCAUGUGGUUUAAUUCGAAGCAACGCGAAGAACCUUACCAAAUCUUGACAUCCUUUGACAACUCUAGAGAUAGAGCCUUCCCCUUCGGGGGACAAAGUGACAGGUGGUGCAUGGUUGUCGUCAGCUCGUGUCGUGAGAUGUUGGGUUAAGUCCCGCAACGAGCGCAACCCUUAAGCUUAGUUGCCAUCAUUAAGUUGGGCACUCUAAGUUGACUGCCGGUGACAAACCGGAGGAAGGUGGGGAUGACGUCAAAUCAUCAUGCCCCUUAUGAUUUGGGCUACACACGUGCUACAAUGGACAAUACAAAGGGCAGCGAAACCGCGAGGUCAAGCAAAUCCCAUAAAGUUGUUCUCAGUUCGGAUUGUAGUCUGCAACUCGACUACAUGAAGCUGGAAUCGCUAGUAAUCGUAGAUCAGCAUGCUACGGUGAAUACGUUCCCGGGUCUUGUACACACCGCCCGUCACACCACGAGAGUUUGUAACACCCGAAGCCGGUGGAGUAACCUUUUAGGAGCUAGCCGUCGAAGGUGGGACAAAUGAUUGGGGUGAAGUCGUAACAAGGUAGCCGUAUCGGAAGGUGCGGCUGGAUCACCUCCUUUCUAAG
rnacentral:rRNA from 1 species